UACAGAGGGUGCAAGCGUUAAUCGGAAUUACUGGGCGUAAAGCGCACGCAGGCGGUUGGUUAAGUCAGAUGUGAAAGCCCCGGGCUCAACCUGGGAAUUGCAUUUGAAACUGGCCAACUAGAGUACGUGAGAGGGGGGUAGAAUUCCAAGUGUAGCGGUGAAAUGCGUAGAGAUUUGGAGGAAUACCAGUGGCGAAGGCGGCCCCCUGGCCCGAUAUUGGCGCUGAGGUGCGAAAGCGUGGGGAGCAAACAGG
rnacentral:rRNA from 1 species